CAUGCGGCAAGUGCAGGUCGGCCAGAGGAGAUCCGCAAUCAUCACUGCGCUGGGCCCUGUUGCUUAUUUAAACACGUCCUCCUCCUUCAAGGGUUUCACUUUGCCUGAGAAAAUCCCUCGGUCCCCUCUUCUUCCCCAAGAGAUCUAGCUUCCUUUAGCAUCCUUCUCGGCCUUAGGCAUCCUCCGGGUCGACUUCCAUCGUCCUUGCCAUCUUCCUGCAUUCCUCGGGCC
rnacentral:lncRNA from 1 species